rnacentral:rRNA from 1 species
GACGAACGCUGGCGGCGUGCUUAACACAUGCAAGUCGAACGGAAAGGCCCUGCUUUUGUGGGGUGCUCGAGUGGCGAACGGGUGAGUAACACGUGAGUAACCUGCCCUUGACUUUGGGAUAACUUCAGGAAACUGGGGCUAAUACCGGAUAGGAGCUCCUGCUGCAUGGUGGGGGUUGGAAAGUUUCGGCGGUUGGGGAUGGACUCGCGGCUUAUCAGCUUGUUGGUGGGGUAGUGGCUUACCAAGGCUUUGACGGGUAGCCGGCCUGAGAGGGUGACCGGCCACAUUGGGACUGAGAUACGGCCCAGACUCCUACGGGAGGCAGCAGUUGGGAAUAUUGCACAAUGGGCGGAAGCCUGAUGCAGCAACGCCGCGUGCGGGAUGACGGCCUUCGGGUUGUAAACCGCUUUCGCCUGUGACGAAGCGUGAGUGACGGUAAUGGGUAAAGAAGCACCGGCUAACUACG